CCGUUUUUAUUUGAGGGCUGCUGAGCCUUCCCAGACCUGGGAGCUGCUGCAUUUCCUACGCAGUGAUCUUCCCUUUAGCACAUUGUGCAGCUCCCUUCAGUCUGAGCACUCUUCCAUGGCUCAUUUGAAGCCAUGCAGGCAGCACUGGCUGGUACUGGCCAGCCUCUGCCCGUCCUCUGGAGGGGCUGGCAGCAUCUAUAUCCUGCCCAGCACCUUCAGCAUGGAUCAAACCCCUGUAUCACAGCUUCCCAUGCACAGACUGGUGUGAUGUGCUCCAUCACCUUACUGCCUACAUGUACUGUGCUUAUGUGCACACCCCUGUGCUCCUUCAGGGCAAAAUCAGCUCUCUAGAGAGUCAGUACAGGUAUUGUGGCACUUGGUUUUGCACCAUGAUGAAGGAUGCAGUAUACAAACUGCUGAUCUAGUGCAGCUGCAGAAGCAGCAGUGUGGAAACACAGAGCCUUAAACUGGAGCAGCUGUGUCCAAAUUAGUUCCUGCCUGCACUGAGUCCAUAUAAGCCCUCUUGGGACCAGAGCAUUAGUUCCUUUGGAGGUAGGGAGUGGGUUACAGUAGGUGCUGGAGCUGUUUCACCUGUGCUGAGACUUGGGAUAAAGAGGUAGGAGAGGUGCUAUGAAAAGGAUGGAAGCCUCCAGAGCUGGUGGCAGGGGACAUCCAUGUACCUCUUCAAAGGGGCUCUUGUUCUUCAACCCUUUUGCUCCCAAGAAGACCCAGUUGCCCCUGAAGCCCAGCUUGCUCACGUGGCUGCUGCCCAGCUUAAUGAAAUGUCCCGCACCUUGUCAUUCAUCCUGAAAGAGGGCUAUUAUCUGCAUGUAAAAGGAGUGAGAAGCCAAUCUUGGAUGCAGAUGUAUUAUGAGGACUCCAGCCUCAGGGACUGCUGAGCUUUCACUGCCCAAGCUGGCAAUCCUGGUCAAAGUCCACUAGACUCGAUCAUUAAAUACACCAAGGAGGAGCAGCCUGAACAGCCAGCACUGCUGGUGUGAGCCCUGGCUGGGAACCACGGAGCAGCAAAGUGACUGUGCUUACCUCCAGAGUACAUGUCGAACGUGUCAGCUGUCAGGAGCUGCCCAUUAGUUCCUGAAAGGUUAAAACUGAGAACAGAGCACAGUGGGAUCAUGCUGGGGUGGCUCCAGGGUUUGCCUGGCCACCAGCUUGGGGUUCCUGCUGUAAAAUGCUUUGCUGUUCCAUCAGUGUGUUAUAUUUGCUGUGAUGGCCAGUAUGUUGUUUGAUAGAGUUCAAGUGCAUGAUGCAGGUGGGUUUGUUCCCAUCUUGGUGGCAGUGCUUGCAACCAUAACUGUGGCUGUGCACCCUGUGCAACACUGGGCUGAUGGACUUUUGCCUCGGCUACAGUGCCUGGGAUUAGGACCCAGUGGUCAGUUUGCUCCUGGGGGAAGAAGAAUUUUCGCUAUGGGGAGAUGGGGGUUAGUGUCCACACAACUCGCCAUUCACCAAAGCGAUGUUCAAGCCUCUGCCAAUGUUGUUUUUCACACUGCUCAUGAGGCUGGAAGGGAAAGCGGAGAGGACCAGUAAGUACAGGGAUGCCCUGGAGAUGCUGGAGCCAGUAAAACUCAUGGGGCAAAGUGGUUGUAGACAGCAAAACAUACCCAGAAUUGUAGCAAUGAAAACUACUUCCUAAUUUCUUUUUAAGCACAAAUGCACUGUGAUGGCCACUGAUGUGCUUGGCAGAGGCCACUUGCCCUGUGCAAGUCCACCCAUGGCUGCCCCAUCUCUGCCAUGUGCUGCUUACACCACGUCAUCGAAGCAGAUGGAGGGUCCCACCACGUUUGCGGUGCCGCUGAUGAUCUUGAAGGCAAAAUGGUUCUGGGGGCAGCUCUUAUGGCUCCCACACCUGUGCUGGGGCAGCUGCUGGCCUGUGAGGGAGGAGUGGAGCUGCAAGCCAUGGUGUUGGCUCUAUGGGGGGACAUAAGCCAUGUCCCCAAGGGGCUGAGAAGGGCUGGCACUGCAGCACUGUGACCUACUAAGGUGGGGCAACACCUGGACCAGUUUCUUACAUGAAGGAGGCUUGUCUUGGGGUUGGGACCAGCUUCUUCAAGGUUUAUGGUGCUUGGGGGUGUGGGACAAGCUGGCUGGGGCACUGGGUGCUGCUUGGUGUUAGCAAUGGGAUGGUGAGGCUAAUUCAAUGGGUCUGGUGCUCAUUCAAGGCCAGCCCCAUAGGGAUUUUCUGCCUGGAGCUUUCCCAUUCUUGGGUAUGGUAGGGACCUGUGUCAAGCCACCCAGAUAGGCCCAUGACCUGCUUCCUGGUGUAGCCUGUGGCCCAGGGGUGUUUCUGCUGGGGCAGGGGAAUCACAUUAAGGUUUGUGUGCUUGCAGAGCCAGCCAAAGACACUGCUGUUGUGUGCAAUAGCGAAAUUCCCCAAUGUUUGGGAGGGUGGGAUUUUUGCCUUGGGAAAAGGGCUCUUGAGGAGAGUUAUCACCCUUUUACUAUCACUCUCAGGCAUGGAGCAGUCUUGUGUGAUGGAGAUGCAGUCGAGAGCAGUGGUACUCGCUGCUGGGCUUGUCCACGG